UGUGUGUGUGUGUGUGUGUGUGUGUGUGUGUGUGUGUGUGUGUGUCACAACCCACUAAAUUAGAAUUUUCCAAAUCCAUCUGUGAGGAAUGUGGCCGAGCGGUGUAUUUGUGGAGGAACAGGAGGAGAAUCCACCGAAGCUGAACAGCCUGAGACAGUCGAGGCCCACUCCGUUUCCAGGUGUGCAGGGAGCGGCAGGAGGACAAGGCAGGCGCGUCCACGAACGCUGACUCGGCUCUGCCCCGCUGCUGUGAGCGCUACCCCGGCGCUUUGUGGGUCAAGAUGGAGGAUUAGAACUCAGCGUGUCAUCGUGGCGCUGACACUCCACCUGCCGCCUCAGCCCACGUUUACAGUCGCUUCCAGUGAGAAGAUCGGGGUGGGGGGGCGUCUGCCUCCUCCACUGGGCUGGGGGGUACGUUGGGUGCUCCUGCAACCAAACAGCAGCAGGAAGUGACGGUGGGAGGUGAUGAUCAUAAUCGAGAGCAGCACUACACUGAUGAGUGUCCUCGCUGCAGCCAGGCCCAGAGACGCGGCACAAGCUACCGCAGGUUGGAUGAGGCCGAGAUCUGGGAUGAUGCCGAACAUCGUACUUCAUGGACACCCGCAGCAGAUUAACACAAAAAUGUCAAAUCUUGAAGUUUCUUCCAGCUGAAGCUCACAUUCUGCACAGCUGUUCCUCUACAUCAUUAAUAAAAAGUCACUAAAUGGAAAAACAACUUCCUCCCACUGUAAGUCUAACUGGAGGAAGCCGUUUAUACCUGUUGUUCUACAAUUCUACCACUUAUUGUGUGUGUGUUUGCUAAAUGUGGAAAUGAGCCCUGAUUAAAUGCCUUUCUAAAAUUGGAAAGUUUUCGUUUUCUUUUUUUUCUAUGACUGAAUAUUUCAGCUUUUUUUUUUCUGCAGCCUCCGUCCCUCCGUGCAUCUCCUGCUCACGUCACACCGGUCUGUCUGCUCGUCUGCCCGUCUCUGCGGCCCCUCGCUCUGAAUACCGGCCCGCUCUGGCUCCGCUUGAGUCCCGGCUGGUGGCCGGCGCCGAGGACGUUCUCUCUGAGCCUGGGCUGAUGCCAGAGAGGCUCCGCGGCGCGUUCGCCUUCAACUUUCACCACAGCAGCCCAUUAGGUCAUACAUUUAUUAGUCCUGACAGGCCGGUGGAGGAGAUGAGGAUUAAACCUUCUACUCAGCAUCCAAUCGACAGCUCCGACACGCUUUCCCUCGCGGCUUUUGCAUUUUCCAUGAUUCUCUGUAUGUUCUUGGACUACGAACGGCUCACAUCAUGGUUUCAUGUCUAGACAAGACGCAAAAUGGGUCAAGAAAAGGUUUCGUCUUUUUUUGGUUGUUUUGAGUAUAAUCAUUAUGACCAAUGCAUCUUGCCGUGCCAGCGACCUGUU